GGCGACGAGACUGUUUGCAGAAUCCAUAGAGAAACUGAGUCAGCUGAUUACAGGACUCAUCUGGUUGCUUCCUUAUGCUGACGUAGUGGCAUUAAGUGCCAAAAGAGUGGGCUUACAGGCAUAAUGAAAAACACCACAACUGUGACAUCGCUUUUGUGCACCUGACAACAGAAAACGCAACAAGAAGUGCCAAGUAUUGAAGAUAAAAGCAAAAUAUGUUGCAGUUAAGCGGCUUUUCCCAGGUCACAUAGCUCCUAAGUGAAGAAGCAGGAAUUUGAAGGUCUGGUCUUUCUACUAUGCCAUGAUGCCUUCUCACAUGGAUCUGAGCCCAGAUUGUUUUAAUAGCAUAUGCCUCAAUUAAAAAGUAGCCAUAAUAAAGGUGAUAAGAAUUCUA